UUAAGAAAAAUUAUAUGUUUUCCGGACUUGGGAUAAAAUUAUUCAUCCCUCGAAAUAUUCCGGGAUUAAUUAAAUAAUUCGUCACAAUUAAAUUAUCGACCCAACGAUUUAAUUAAAAACCCAAUACUUAAUUAUUUACCUCACCUCUUACUUGUCAUUUAAUUUAAAAGCCCCAAUUAAACAAAUAAAGGAGCCCAAUCUAGCAACCAUCCCCAUUUUAAUUAAUUGGCCCAAGAAAACAAGUAAAGGCCCAAAUUCUUUUAUCAAUACAAUUGCCCAAUUUUGACUCCCAUUUUCCCCAAAUCGGUCAACUCUCUCUCCCCCUAUCUUCUUUCUUCUUUCUUCUCUCUCUACCCGCCUCCCUCAAUCGCAGAAGCCAUCCCCCUUCUGUCGCUCUCUCUCCGGCUCGACGCCGCCGUCGGAGCUGCCGCGGCGGUCGCCAGGAAGUCGCCAGCUGCUGCUGCCUCGCCGCCUCUGUCCGUCCGCCGUCGUAGAGUCGCCGGGAGAAGCUGCUACCGCAGCGAGGAGGAACGCCGCCGUCGCCCGCUGCAGCUCGCCGUCGGCCACCACUGCUGCUUCGUCGCCGUCGGUCGUCGCUCCUGGAAUGGAGGAACCCAGCCGCUGGAGCGGCCACCCUCCUGCCGUCGCCGGGAGUCCAGCCGCCGGCCAAGCACCGCGCAGCCCCGAACACGCCCGGAACCACCCCGAAACGUCCCGCAAUCAACCCGAACAGCCCCGAAGAUAAGUUCUUAACUUGAUUUCAGUUCUUUACAGGAAAAACCCAGUUUAAGUUCGUGGCUUUGGUGUAGGAAAACAAAUAACAUCCAUAGUCUUCCCUGAUGAUGUACCAAACUUUCUUGGAGUGCGAGCACGACCGUAGAACGGGCUGCGUGAACUUUUCUCUAAAUGAAAUAGAUAAGGAUCCGAUAAAUUUGUAUGAUAAUAAUUUAGCGGACUUCGGAGAUAUGCUGGAUAUUAUAAAUUUUUAUUUGGUGUUA